AAUUAGCAUAUGUAAACGCCCCGCCAAUCCCCAUAAAAGGGCAUGAGACUGCAGGGCCGUGUGCACACACAGAAAUCGAAAAGAAAAGUUGAGAGCGAAGUCAAUAAUGCCCAAACGAAAAUCUAAAGACGGUGGAACACCGGACUCCAAACGCUGCCGUGCUUCAGGAAUCCAGCAGCUCUGAAGUGACUCAGCUCCCAGAAGGGCACCGUAUCUGCUGUCUUGUGGUGUACACAGCGUCCACUUCAGAUAACCCCAGUGAGGAAACAGACCGAGGCCUGCCACUGUGCCUGCAACUGUACAGCUUUCCAGCAGAACCAGGGCUAUGACUACACCAACUAUGCAGCUUUCCAACAGACUCAACGCUGCGGCUAUACAAACAGAGAGAGAUUACUUGUGCUCCUGAGGUGGAGAAACUGAAUUACUGGGAUUACUGUAUCCCUGUGUGCUUUGGGACCCACACUGCAAUCUUUUGCAAGCAUCUGUGCUGCAUGUCCAAGAACAUAACCUGAAAAUGUCCACAUGGGACUACCUGCUCAAUCAGCACAAAACUCUGUCACCAAUCUGACAGAUACAUUUAUGCGAAACCAUAUCCUAAUGCAAAGUGCUAAAUGUGUGUACUAGGUGUACUGUACUAGGCAAGCAGAUUUAACUUUUUUUGCUGGUUGAUAUCAAUAGAGGCACAAUAAAUUCUUGAAUUUUGUCUAUGUUUUA